CGACAGGGAGUGUUGAAAUGGCGCAGAAAGGAGUUCAUCUGAACCGUGAGUCUUUCUCUUGUUCCAUCUGUUUGGAUCUUCUGAAGGAUCCGGUGACUGUUUCCUGUGGACACAGCUUCUGCAUGAGCUGUAUUCAAUCCUACUGGGAUACUGAGGAUGAGAAGAAGAUCUACAGCUGUCCUCAGUGCAGAGAGACCUUCAUACCGAGGCCUGUCCUGAAGAAAAACACCAUGUUAGCAGGUUUAGUGGAGGAAGUGAAGAAGAGCGGACUCCAAGCUGCUCCUGAUGGUUCCUCUGAGGCUGGACCUGAAGAUGUGGCCUGUGAUUUCUGCAGUGGGAGAAAACUGAAAGCUGUCAAGUCCUGUCUUCAAUGUCUGGUUUCUUACUGCCAGAUUCACCUCCAGCCUCAUUUUGAAUCACCUUCAUUUAAGAAACACAAGCUGGUGGAGCCCUCCAAGAAGCUCCAGGAGAACAUCUGCUCUGAUCAUGAUGAGGUGAUGAAGAUGUUCUGUCGCACUGAUCAGAAGUCUAUCUGUCAUCUCUGCUGUUUGGACCAACACAAAGGCCACGACACAGUCUCAGCUGCAGCAGAAAGGACUGAGAGGCAGAAAGAUCUGGAGGAGAGUCGAGAAAACAUCCAGCAGAGAAUCCAGGACAGAGAAGAAGAUGUGAAGCUGCUCCAACAGGAGGUGGAGGCUAUCAACGGCUCUGCUGAUAAAGCUGUGGAGCACAGCCAGAAGAUCUUCACCCAGCUUAUCCGUCUGAUGGAGAAACGCCGCUCUGAGGUGGAGCAGCAGGUCAGAUCCCAGCAGGAACGUGAAGUGAGUCGAGUCAAAGAGCUUCAGGAGAAACUGGAGCAGGAGAUCACUGAGCUGAAGAGGAAAGACGCUGAUCUGCAGAAGCUCUCACUCACAGAGGACCACAACCAGUUUCUGCACAGCUACCCCUCACUGUCAGAACCGGGUCAACCUGCAGACUCAUCCAGAAUCUACAUCCGUCCUCAGAGAUACUUUGAGGAGGUGACAGCAGCUGUGUCAGAGGUCAGAGAGAAACUCCAGGAUCUUCUGACAGAGACGUGGACAAACGUCUCACAGGCAGUGACUGAAGUGGAUGUUUUACUGUUAGAACCAGAACCAAAGACCAGAGCUGGUUUCUUAAGAUAUUCAAGAAGAAUCACACUGGAUCCAAACACAGCAAACGAAUGGCUGUUAUUAUCUGAUGGAAACAGAAGAGCAACAUUGACAGGAGAAGAAGAAGAAGAAGAAGAACAGUCUUAUCCUGAUCAUCCAGACAGAUUCACUGAUUAUCUUCAGGUCCUGAGUAGAGAGAGUCUGACUGGACGUUGUUACUGGGAGGUGGACUGGAGAGGGGACGGGGUUUAUGUAGCAGUCGCAUACAAGACUAUCAGGAGAGACGGGGACUCAUUGGAUUGUAGAUUUGGAGGAAAUGACAAAUCUUGGAUGUUAUUCUGUUCUAAAGACAGGUAUCAAUUUGUUCACAACAAAGUCCGCACUGAUGUCUCAGGUCCUCAGUCCUCCAGAGUAGGAGUGUACCUGGAUCACAGAGCAGGUAUUCUGUCCUUCUACAGCGUCUCUGAAACCAUGAGUCUCCUCCACAGAGUCCAGACCACAUUCACUGAACCGCUACAUGCUGGACUGAUCCCCUGGUCUGAUGGAGCCUCUGCUGAGUUUAUAGAAGUGAAAUAAAGAGAAUUUUGAGUCCAUCAGACCAAAAUCAUGGACUGAGAUCCUUGAACUCUUGAAAUGUUCUGGUUUGUAAAUGUUUGUGGAUCAGUCUCACCAAAAACUCUGGGUUUAGUUCUUCAUUUCAGCUUUUUGAUUCUUUUCUAAAGAUGCUGAUUUGGUCGCAGCUUUAAGGACAGUGAUUGUGGAGAACUUUGAUUGUUUGUAUUUCUCAUGUUGAAAAAAUCUUCAUAAAGUUUGAUAUCAACAACAUCAAGAUGAUGGUUUGUUCAAAUCACCUUCAGUUGGUGCAGAUGUUGAAGGUCUGAGACUUUAGAAAAAAGUGAGGUCAAAAUCACAGAAAAAGGACGACCUUAUUUCCUGUCCCAAAUCCAAGCGUCUAAAGUCUUUCCAGUCGUCCCCAAAAACUCUUCAGAUGAUCUGUUUCUUUCUCUGUUUGCUGAAUAUUUGUGUUCAUG